GACGAACGCUGGCGGCGUGCCUAAUACAUGCAAGUAGGACGCCGUUGCGAACGGGUGAUUAACGCGUAGGUAACAGCCUAUUAGAGGGGGGUAACUAUUGGACACGAUAGGUAAUACCGCAUACUAGUAGAUGGACCUGCGUUGUAUUAGCUAGUAGGUAGGGUAAUGGCCUACCUAGGCGACGGUACAUAGCCGACCUGAGAGGGUGGUCAACCCCAUGUGGACUGAGACACGGCCCAGACUCCUGCCAUGAGCAACAGUAGUCAAUCUUCGGCGAGUGGGGGAAACCUUACCAGGCAACGCCGCGUGAGGGAAGAAAGUUUUCGGAUCGUCAAGCUCUGUUGUUAAGGAAGCGGUACUUAACCAGAAAGGGACGGCGAACUACGUGCCAGCAGCCGCGGUAAUUC
rnacentral:rRNA from 1 species